rnacentral:rRNA from 1 species
CCUACGGGUUGCAGCAGUGGGGAAUAUUGCACAAUGGGCGCAAGCCUGAUGCAGCCAUGCCGCGUGUAUGAAGAAGGCCUUCGGGUUGUAAAGUACUUUCAGCGGGGAGGAAGGCGAUAAGGUUAAUAACCUUGUCGAUUGACGUUACCCGCAGAAGAAGCACCGGCUAACUCCGUGCCAGCAGCCGCGGUAAUACGGAGGGUGCAAGCGUUAAUCGGAAUUACUGGGCGUAAAGCGCACGCAGGCGGUCUGUCAAGUCGGAUGUGAAAUCCCCGGGCUCAACCUGGGAACUGCAUUCGAAACUGGCAGGCUAGAGUCUUGUAGAGGGGGGUAGAAUUCCAGGUGUAGCGGUGAAAUGCGUAGAGAUCUGGAGGAAUACCGGUGGCGAAGGCGGCCCCCUGGAUAAAGACUGACGCUCAGGUGCGAAAGCGUGGGGAGCAAACAGGAUUAGAUACCCCGGUAGUC